CCUGGCGGCACUAGCGCGGUGGUCCCACCUGACCCCAUGCCGAACUCAGAAGUGAAACGCCGUUCCCCAUGUGAGAGUAGGGAACUGCCAGGC
rnacentral:rRNA from 1 species